rnacentral:rRNA from 1 species
AGAGCGAACGCUGGCGGCAGGCUUAACACAUGCAAGUCGAGCGGGCGUAGCAAUACGUCAGCGGCAGACGGGUGAGUAACGCGUGGGAACGUACCUUUUGGUUCGGAACAACACAGGGAAACUUGUGCUAAUACCGGAUAAGCCCUUACGGGGAAAGAUUUAUCGCCGAAAGAUCGGCCCGCGUCUGAUUAGCUAGUUGGUGAGGUAACGGCUCACCAAGGCGACGAUCAGUAGCUGGUCUGAGAGGAUGAUCAGCCACAUUGGGACUGAGACACGGCCCAAACUCCUACGGGAGGCAGCAGUGGGGAAUAUUGGACAAUGGGCGCAAGCCUGAUCCAGCCAUGCCGCGUGAGUGAUGAAGGCCCUAGGGUUGUAAAGCUCUUUUGUGCGGGAAGAUAAUGACGGUACCGCAAGAAUAAGCCCGGCUAACUUCGUGCCAGCAGCCGC